UGAUAGCCCUGGUGAGCUGCAGGACAUCAAACCAUCAUAAAGUAUAGAUUUCCAUAGGAUGCCACAGUGAAUAGUGCUAUGUUUUCCUGAGGAGAUAUAAGA
ensembl:snoRNA